rnacentral:rRNA from 1 species
UACGUAGGUGGCAAGCGUUAUCCGGAUUUAUUGGGUGUAAAGGGCGUGUAGGCGGGAAUGCAAGUCAGAUGUGAAAACUAUGGGCUCAACCCAUAGCCUGCAUUUGAGACUGUAUUUCUUGAGUGCUGGAGAGGCAAUCGGAAUUCCGUGUGUAGCAGUGAAAUGCGUAGAUAUACGGAGGAACACCAGUGGCGAAGGCGGAUUGCUGGACAGUAACUGACGCUGAGGCGCGAAAGCGUGGGGAGCAAACAGG